rnacentral:lncRNA from 1 species
UGGGAUGUGUUGAGAUCCCCCCCCCCAGAUUUCAUUCUGCAGUGUGAAAUGCGUUAAAACAUCCCCAAAAACGUGUUUCUGCAAUGCAAAAUGUGUUAAAUUCCCCCAAAAAGCUGUUUUUUGCCAUGCAAAAUUUCAUAAAGCCCCCUAAAAAUGUGCUUUUGUGAUGGGAAAAGUGGUAAAAUACCCACCAAAACGUCUUUUUGUGAUGUUAAACAUUUUUAAAUCCCCUCCAAGUUGGUUUUUGCAGUGGGAAAAGUGUCCAAAUUCCACCCAAAUGUGAUUCUGCAGGGCAAAAUGUACCCCAAAUCCCCCCCAAAAAACUCUGUUUCUGCAUCCCAAAACUUGUCAACCUCCCCCCUUCGGGAUUUGUAUCCGCGGUGCAAAACCUGUGACCCCCCCUCCCCUCUCCCCGAGGGAGAACCGACGGAAAUAAAGCAAAACGAUGGAUUUUUGUUGGAAAACUGACCAAAAGCUCAUUUUUUGUCCGGGCUGGGCGGGGUGGGGGGCGCGCGGCGGUGCAGGCGGCGGCUGCGUGCAUCUUGGUCUUUGUAAAUCCUUCGUUUCGUCCUUUUUGGAUCAUGUUUUUUUGGAAAUCUUUGCAUUUUGGUCAUUUCAAAUCCUUGACUCUUGGUCUUUGCAUCUUGGUCUUUGUAAAUCCUUCGUUUCGUCCUCUUUGGAUCAUGUUUUUUGGAAAUCUUUGUGUCGUGGUUUUUGCAUCUUGGUCUUUGCAAAUUUUUCCUUCGUCCUCUUUGUAUCUUGGUCUUUGCAUCUUGGUCUUGGCAUUGUGCUCGUUCCAAAUUCUUCGCAUUUCUUGCACAUUUCUUUGCAAACCCUUUGCUUUUUGCUUUUUGCAAAUCCCUUUUUUUUUUUAUUUUUCAUGCUCUUUUUGCAUCGUGCUCUUUGCAGACCCUUUGCUUCUCUUGCCUCGUGCUCCUCAUCCCUUUGUGUCCUCCUCAUCCUCGUG